rnacentral:rRNA from 1 species
AUUGAACGCUGGCGGCAGGCUUAACACAUGCAAGUCGAACGAGUGGCGGACGGGUGAGUAAUGUCUGGGAAACUGCCUGAUGGAGGGGGAUAACUACUGGAAAAGGUAGCUUAUACCGCCUACCAUACGAUUUGCCCAGAUGGGAUUGGCUAGUAGGGGGGGUAAAGGCUUACCUAGGCGACGAUCCCUAGCUGGUCUGAGAGGAUGACCAGCCACACUGGAACUGUGACACGGUCCAACUCCCUAGGGGAGGCAGCGUGGGGGAAUAUUCGACAAGGGGCGAAAGCCUGAGGCAGCCAUGCCGCUGAUGGGAAGCAGGCCUUGGGGUUGUAAAGUAUUUUCAGCGGGGCGGCGUUACCCGCAGAAGAAGCAACGGCUAACUCCGUGCCAGCCGCCGCGGUAAUUC